rnacentral:rRNA from 1 species
UACGUAGGGUGCGAGCGUUGUCCGGAAUUAUUGGGCGUAAAGGGCUCGUAGGCGGUUUGUCGCGUCGGGAGUGAAAUCCACUGGCUUAACUGGUGGCUUGCUUUCGAUACGGGCAGACUGGAGGUAUGCAGGGGAGAACGGAAUUCCUGGUGUAGCGGUGGAAUGCGCAGAUAUCAGGAGGAACACCAAUAGCGAAGGCAGCUCGCUGGGACGGUAUUGACGCUAAGGCGCGAAAGCGUGGGGAGCAAACAGG